CCUACGGGUGGCAGCAGUGGGGAAUAUUGGACAAUGGGGGGAACCCUGAUCCAGCCAUGCCGCGUGUGUGAAGAAGGCCCUCGGGUUGUAAAGCACUUUCAGUGAGGAAGAACGCCUGGUGGUUAAUACCCAUCAGGAAAGACAUCACUCACAGAAGAAGCACCGGCUAACUCCGUGCCAGCAGCCGCGGUAAUACGGAGGGUGCGAGCGUUAAUCGGAAUUACUGGGCGUAAAGCGCGCGUAGGUGGCUUGAUAAGCCGGUUGUGAAAGCCCCGGGCUCAACCUGGGAACGGCAUCCGGAACUGUCAAGCUAGAGUGCAGGAGAGGAAGGUAGAAUUCCCGGUGUAGCGGUGAAAUGCGUAGAGAUCGGGAGGAAUACCAGUGGCGAAGGCGGCCUUCUGGACUGACACUGACACUGAGGUGCGAGAGCGUGGGUAGCAAACAGGAUUAGAUACCCGUGUAGUC
rnacentral:rRNA from 1 species